UGGUGGAGUGAUUUGUCCGGUUAAUUCCGUUAACGAACGAGACCUUAACCUGCUAAAUAGUCGCAGUAACCACGGUUGCUGAUUGACUUCUUAGAGGGACUUUGCGCGUCUAGCGCAAGGAAGUUUGAGGCAAUAACA
rnacentral:rRNA from 1 species